UACGUAGGGCGCAAGCGUUGUCCGGAAUUAUUGGGCGUAAAGAGCUCGUAGGCGGCUUGUCACGUCGGGUGUGAAAGCCCGGGGCUUAACCCCGGGUCUGCAUUCGAUACGGGCAGGCUAGAGUGUGGUAGGGGAGAUCGGAAUUCCUGGUGUAGCGGUGAAAUGCGCAGAUAUCAGGAGGAACACCGAUGGCGAAGGCAGCUCGCUGGGACGGUACUGACGCUGAGGCGCGAAAGCGUGGGGAGCGAACAGG
rnacentral:rRNA from 1 species